CCUACGGGGGACAGCAGUGAGGAAUAUUGGGCACUGGGCGAAAGCCUGAACCAGCCAUGCCGCGUGCAGGAAGACGGCCCUAGGAGUUUUAAAUUGUUUCUGUACGAGGGUAAACACAGAUACUUGUACCUGCUUGCAAGUACCGUCCGACUAAGGACCGGCUAACUCCGUUCCAGCAGCCGCGGUAAUACGGAGGGUCCAAGCGUUAUCCGGAUUUAUUGGGUUUAAAGGGUACUUAGGCGGUUUAGUAAGUCAGCGGUGAAAUUUUGGGGCUCAACAGCACACGUGCCGUGGAUACUGGUGAGCUAGAGAGUAGUAGCGGUAGGCGGAAUGUAUGGUGUAGCGGUGAAAUGCUUAGAGAGC
rnacentral:rRNA from 1 species